rnacentral:rRNA from 1 species
GAUGAACGCUGACAGAAUGCUUAACACAUGCAAGUCCACUUGAACUUCGGUUUGGGUGGCGGACGGGUGAGUAACGCGUAAGGAACUUGCCUCACAGCUAGGGACAACAUUUGGAAACGAAUGCUAAUACCUGAUAUUAUGAUUAUAUGGCAUCGUAUAAUUAUGAAAGCUAUAUGCGCUGUGAGAGAGCUUUGCGUCCCAUUAGCUAGUUGGAGAGGUAACAGCUCACCAAGGCGAUGAUGGGUAGCCGGCCUGAGAGGGUGAUCGGCCACAAGGGGACUGAGACACGGCCCUUACUCCUACGGGAGGCAGCAGUGGGGAAUAUUGGACAAUGGACCGAGAGUCUGAUCCAGCAAUUCUGUGUGAACGAUGAAGUUUUUCGGAAUGUAAAGUGCUUUCAGUUGGGAAGAAAAAAAUGACGGUACCAACAGAAGAAGUGACGGCUAAAUACGUG